UCCCAUAUUGUCUAGUGGUUAGGAUACCUGCCUCACACCCAGGAGGCCCGGGUUCAAUUCCCGGUAUGGGAA
rfam:Daphnia pulex DAPPTscaffold_1282_Cont12430, whole genome shotgun sequence.